AGAUUGAACGCUAGCGGGAUGCUUUACACAUGCAAGUCGAACGGCAGCGCGGACUUCGGUCUGGCGGCGAGUGGCGAACGGGUGAGUAAUAUAUCGGAACGUGCCCAGUAGCGGGGGAUAACUACGCGAAAGCGUGGCUAAUACCGCAUACGCCCUACGGGGGAAAGGGGGGGAUCGCAAGACCUCUCACUAUUGGAGCGGCCGAUACCAGAUUAGCUAGUUGGUGAGGUAAAGGCUCACCAAGGCGACGAUCUGUAGCUGGUUUGAGAGGACGACCAGCCACACUGGGACUGAGACACGGCCCAGACUCCUACGGGAGCAGCAGUGGGAAUUUGGACAAUGGGGGAAACCCUGAUCCAGCCAUCCCGCGUGUGCGAUGAAGGCCUUCGGGUUGUAAGCACUUUGGCUAGGAAGAACGG
rnacentral:rRNA from 1 species